AAUUGUUGUCAACAAUCAUAGAAAGUGUUAACUCUUAAAUAUACGUCAGCAUAUGAGUCAAAAACGAAUAAAAUGAUGAACACAUUUGUCCUAGUGAUUAGCCUAAUUAUUGUGAGCGUGGUGGUGAUUAUUCCACCGUGCGGGGCUGCACUUGGACGAAGAAUGGUUUAGAUAGCAAACAUAACCAGAUUCCGAAAAACCCCCGCACCGAAAGGCGCGGGGGUUUUUUUUAGGCUCAAUAUACCGAUCAACACAUAGAAACGAAUAGAACAAAACAUCACAUAACAG
rfam:Xenorhabdus doucetiae str. FRM16 chromosome, complete genome.